rnacentral:lncRNA from 1 species
GCCCUGCCUUCCCCAGUCUGCCUGACCUACAUAUUCCAGCAUGGUGUGACUUACGUUCCAUCGCUGACCUACAUUUUCAACCUCAAAAAUAAGAACUCGGGGAAGAGAGGCCAGUAGAUGUGGAAAGAAAUAAGGAAUCUAGCCCUGCAGGGAGAUCUCCAAGCAGUUGCCCAAAAAGCAUGAGGAAAUCCUGCCAUGUAACAUAAAAAGUCAGUUCC